UACGUAGGGUGCAAGCGUUAAUCGGAAUUACUGGGCGUAAAGCGUGCGCAGGCGGUUCUAUAAGACAGAUGUGAGAUCCCCGGGCUCAACCUGGGAACUGCAUUUGUGACUGUAGAGCUGGAGUGCGGCAGAGGGGGAUGGAAUUCCGCGUGUAGCAGUGAAAUGCGUAGAGAUCCGGAGGAACACCGACGGCGUAGGCAGCGCCCUGGCUGUGAAUAAAGCUGACACUGAGGCACGAAAGCUGGGGGAGCAAACAGG
rnacentral:rRNA from 1 species